UUCCGUAGGGGGAACCUGCGGAAGGAUCAUUACCGAGUGUAGGGUUCCUAGCGAGCCCAACCUCCCACCCGUGUUUACUGUAACCUUAGUUGCUUCGGCGGGCCCGCCUUUAAGGCCGCCGGGGGGCAUCAGCCCCCGGGCCCGCGCCCGCCGGAGACACCACGAACUCUGUCUGAUCUAGUGAAGUCUGAGUUGAUUGUAUCGCAAUCAGUUAAAACUUUCAACAAUGGAUCUCUUGGUUCCGGCAUCGAUGAAGAACGCAGCGAAAUGCGAUAACUAGUGUGAAUUGCAGAAUUCCGUGAAUCAUCGAGUCUUUGAACGCACAUUGCGCCCCCUGGUAUUCCGGGGGGCAUGCCUGUCCGAGCGUCAUUGCUGCCCAUCAAGCACGGCUUGUGUGUUGGGUCGUCGUCCCCUCUUCGGGGGGGACGGGCCCCAAAGGCAGCGGCGGCACCGCGUCCGAUCCUCGAGCGUAUGGGGCUUUGUCACCCGCUCUGUAGGCCCGGCCGGCGCUUGCCGAACGCAAAACAACCAUUCUUUCCAGGUUGACCUCGGAUCAGGUAGGGAUACCCGCUGAACUUAAGCAUAUCAAUAAAGCGGAGGAAG
rnacentral:rRNA from 1 species